UCCGUAGGUGAACCUGCGGAAGGAUCAUUACCGAGUGAGGGCCCUCUGGGUCCAACCUCCCACCCGUGUUUAUUUUACCUUGUUGCUUCGGCGGGCCCGCCUUAACUGGCCGCCGGGGGGCUUACGCCCCCGGGCCCGCGCCCGCCGAAGACACCCUCGAACUCUGUCUGAAGAUUGAAGUCUGAGUGAAAAUAUAAAUUAUUUAAAACUUUCAACAACGGAUCUCUUGGUUCCGGCAUCGAUGAAGAACGCAGCGAAAUGCGAUACGUAAUGUGAAUUGCAAAUUCAGUGAAUCAUCGAGUCUUUGAACGCACAUUGCGCCCCCUGGUAUUCCGGGGGGCAUGCCUGUCCGAGCGUCAUUGCUGCCCUCAAGCCCGGCUUGUGUGUUGGGCCCCGUCCUCCGAUCUCCGGGGGACGGGCCCGAAAGGCAGCGGCGGCACCGCGUCCGGUCCUCGAGCGUAUGGGGCUUUGUCACCCGCUCUGUAGGCCCGGCCGGCGCUUGCCGAUCAACCCAAAUUUUUAUCCAGGUUGACCUCGGAUCAGGUAGGGAUACCCGCUGAACUUAAGCAUAUCAAUAAGCGGAGGA
rnacentral:rRNA from 1 species